UUGACAGUAACGUUCAUUGGAAUGCUCGACCCCUCUGGUUAAAUAGGGCUAUAAAAGGGAGGCAAUCUCAUCUAUUUUACUUCUAAUCUGUGACUCCCAAGGCACUGGAAGAGCCACUUUGCCUUUGAGGCAAGUGGUUAUGAUACUCCAUACAUGACCGUACAAGAGAUGUCAAGAACACUGAGUGGCAAAAUAAGAGCUACAUGAAGGCUUCACAAGCUAUGAGACGCCAGAUUACUUGGGGAAGCUCCGAAGUUGGCCAUGAUGUAAUAGCCAUGCCCUCUUCGCCUCGCAGCAACAACAAAUCAGAGGUUCCACCUCCAUACUCAAAAUGAAACUGGGCCUGGAAGUGUGCAACAACCCCACACAUACCUUGCUAAUUCGAUUACCAAUGCCAGGAUGUCUGUUAUCGACUACUCUCCUGCUCCCCCCCCCCCACCGGACAUCAUGAAAGACCCAGUCCUGGGCUCAGAAAGAAAAUAAAUAUCUGGUCCUCUUCA